UACGUAGGGGGCAAGCGUUAUCCGGAUUUACUGGGUGUAAAGGGAGCGUAGACGGUGAGACAAGUCUGAAGUGAAAGCCCGGGGCUCAACCCCGGGACUGCUUUGGAAACUGCCUGACUGGAGUGCUGGAGAGGCAAGCGGAAUUCCUAGUGUAGCGGUGAAAUGCGUAGAUAUUAGGAAGAACACCAGUGGCGAAGGCGGCUUGCUGGACAGUAACUGACGCUCAGGCACGAAAGCGUGGGGAGCAAACAGG
rnacentral:rRNA from 1 species